CGCAAUGGGCGAAAGCCUGACGCAGCAACACCGCGUGGAGGAUGAAGGUUUUAGGAUUGUAAACUCCCGUCGGCAGGGAAUAUUAUGACUGUACCUGCAAAGGAAGCACCGGCUAAAUACGUGCCAGCAGCCGCGGUAAGACGUAGGGUGCAAGCGUUGUCCGGAAUUAUUGGGCGUAAAGAGUUUGUAGGCGGUUUUUUAAGUCUGGUGUUAAAGCCCGAAGCUCAACUUCGGCAUGGCAUUGGAAACUGGGUAACUAGAGUGUGGUAGAGGUCACGGGAAUUCCUGGUGUAGCGGUGAAAUGCGUAGAUAUCAGGAGGAACACCGGUGGCGAAAGCGCGUGGCUGGACCAUAACUGACUCUGGGGAACGAAAGCCA
rnacentral:rRNA from 1 species